UACGAAGGGGGCUAGCGUUGUUCGGAAUCACUGGGCGUAAAGGGCGCGUAGGCGGCUUUAUAAGUCGGGGGUGAAAGCCUGUGGCUCAACCACAGAAUUGCCUUCGAUACUGUAGAGCUUGAGACCGGAAGAGGUAAGUGGAACUGUGAGUGUAGAGGUGAAAUUCGUAGAUAUUCGCAAGAACACCAGUGGCGAAGGCGGACUUACUGGUCCGGUUCUGACGCUGAGGCGCGAAAGCGUGGGGAGCAACAGG
rnacentral:rRNA from 1 species